GACGAACGCUGGCGGCGUGCUUAACACAUGCAAGUCGAGCGGUAAGGCCCUUCGGGGUACACGAGCGGCGAACGGGUGAGUAACACGUGGGUGAUCUGCCUCGCACUCUGGGAUAAGCCUGGGAAACUGGGUCUAAUACCGGAUAUGACCACGAAUCGCAUGGUUGGUGGUGGAAAGAUUUAUCGGUGCGAGAUGGGCCCGCGGCCUAUCAGCUUGUUGGUGGGGUAAUGGCCUACCAAGGCGACGACGGGUAGCCGGCCUGAGAGGGCGACCGGCCACACUGGGACUGAGACACGGCCCAGACUCCUACGGGAGGCAGCAGUGGGGAAUAUUGCACAAUGGGCGGAAGCCUGAUGCAGCGACGCCGCGUGAGGGAUGACGGCCUUCGGGUUGUAAACCUCUUUCGACAGGGACGAAGCGCAAGUGACGGUACCUGUAGAAGAAGCACCGGCCAACUACGUG
rnacentral:rRNA from 1 species